AUUCCUGUGUAUUUGAGGCCUUCUGAAGUAACACAUGGCACUUUAGCCCACAGUUCCAAUAAAACAAACAACAAUUAAUGGAGCUGGAAAACUGAGCCAGCUCUGCCUGUGAGCUGGAGGACCCUGCCAAUGAAAGCUCUGCAGGAUGACAGCUCUGAAGCCCCAGUAGCUCAUCUCGUUCUCUCUGUUGGCACGUGGUAAUCUCCUCUGAAUUGUGAAACUGCUGGCUUUCGCUGUUUGACUUUAUUGUGGUCUUCCCUAGCAGAGCGGGCUCUUGUGUGUUGUGCACAAAGGUGUGCAAUGCUUUGAAUACCAAGCAAAUCUGGCUUGCAAACCCGCUUAACGGGUUCUUGUUACCCAGCUGACCUUCCUCACUGGGAAGAUGGCCAUGCAACUGGGAUCAAGGUAGCACACAUCAAAGACUUAUUGACAGCUCAGCAUCCCACCAAGCACAACAAUAAACAUCUCCUGGCUGCAGAUACCGAGGAUCCAAAAGUUGGUAGCAAGAGCUUAUGGCUCUUCUUGGGUCGCUUCCCAGAUCUGGUCCAGCUAACGUGGAGGCCAUGAAAGGACAUCCCUCUUGAUGUGAGUUCCAUGAAGACAACGAAAUAAUUAGGAUGUAGAACAGAGCAGUAUCUCUCUCUUUUCCAGAGUCAGGGGCAGUGUGUUGGGAUGAUGCUUUUCAUUCUCUGGGAACAUGAGAUAUCUUCAACACCUUCUAGCAAGCAUAGUCCUUUGGCCUGGGUCCUUACGGAGGCUGGCAAUGGUAAUGACAAAUACCUUCAGUUUUCCCCAUUCUGCUAUCAAAGAUUCAGUCUCCUUUGGUUCUGUGUUUGGCAGCUGGAGGAAGGUUCCAGAAGACCCGUGUGGGGUGAACAUUACACUUACAUGUCCAAAGAAGCACCACACUCCCUGUUUUCUUGUACAGCUGAAAAUGGCAAUAGACUGUGGGAACCAAUGAAUUGCUGUCAAGGGGGAAAAAAAGCAGCUUACAUUUAGUGGGUGGAAAUGCAAGCAUCAUCCAGCAAAGAAAUUUUAGUGAAGUCCUUUUUAGCUAUCAUCAGUGUUCAUUCAGAUUUGUAAGUAGAUAAAUACAAUCUACUGAAGCAAAGGAAAGUGAUCCAUUUUAACACAUACCACAGGUGUCUGAGCAGCAAUGAAAAGCAGAUUGCAUCCUAACAUGUCUGAAGAGGAUUCUUAGCCACCUUUACUAGCUAAUUCAAAAGGUAUGCUUAACCCAGACAGAAACGUGCUAUGGGGUAAGAGGAUGCUCUGAACUGGAAAACCCAAAUGAGAACCCUAUAUUCCUGCAACCGUCAGCCACAUCUUGUGGUCAUCAGUCAAAUAUCACAACCUUGGAGCAACGUCUUAUGGGAGCCUGAUAUUUUUUUUUUCCUAUGCACUUCACCUGAAGCAUGUAUGCUAUGACCCCACCUAUACCGUGCACAGUAGCCACACAAGAGAUCCUACUACCUCCGUUGGCAUGAGGAACAGAGGGAUACAUUCAAGAGUAUAUGGGCCAGAAAUAUGAAGGUGUGUUUGUCUGUCUACUUCUCUAACAGCUUGGGAAGAUGAGGAUUUAUGUCUGUGCAGCUGUCAGUUCUUCUGGAAGAAGGUGGAGAAGGUCUUGCUCUGACUCUGCUUUUUAGGACCUAUUUAAAACUAAGAUGACAACUGUUUUGGAGAACAUGGAAAGGUGACAUCCAAAGGUUGUUUGAAAUCCAAAACAGGAUCUAAAGUUCUCUCCUCCACAAGACCAUGAGGUAUUCAGUGGUGUGGGUGCUUUCCUCCUUGUGCAGUCAUUCCUGAACCACUGUCCUCUUCUUAUGGACAAUAACUGAGAAGGUGGCAGCUCCUGGGCAUUGCCUAUGGUAUAGAUAUGGUAUCCCUCUUUGGGAUAGCUGGUCCAAGCUUGGGAUGGUGACAAGUAUCGGGUUCAAAGCUUCUCCUUCUCCCUGCAUGGCCACACCAAAUAGCUGUGGUGUUUGGUGAUUCAUGUUACUCCCAUCCAGUGGCAGCUGUGGAGAAAGGAAACACAUGACACUGACAUGAUCCUUCCUCCUCCCAUGCCAACAUCCCAUUCUGCCUGGCUUGGGGUGGGGGUAUCCACAGAUAAAGAGACAGGAUCUCCUUUUUUUAAAAAGUUUUUUUAUUUUUUUUGGAAAAAGAGCUUUAGAACUUCUCCCUUCCAUCUCUUCUACCUCACCGCCCCCUUUCCCUCUGGAGCAAACAGCAUUCAAAGGAUUCAGGCUAAUCUUAUUAAAGACUUGACACUAGCACCACUUCCUGGGCUAACAGACCAAGAACAGACUUUAACCGUGCCCCUGAGAUGUUCCAUUGAGGAAAGCAUCAAGCACAACAAGGCUUAACUCCUCCUAGGAUAUACGUUACCGCACACACUGCCUUUCACCUCCUCAGUGGGCGUCAGGAGCUCACUUAUGGAACUCAAGCUGCAGAAUAGCUGAACCUUCAGAAGGAAGUGGAGAGGUGGGCUGCCUACUGGCUCUAGCAUUUGCUGAGGGGGUGUUUGGUUGUUCCUGCCAGAAGUAAAAGAUGCUCUGCAUGGACCUGUUAAAAAAGAGUAAGUCUGGCUGUAAAUAGGCAUUUCACCAUGAUCGUACUGCUUACAAAUGUCACUGAGAAGUGGUGACUUCUCACCAACAUACAUGCAGAAAGAAGAGAAUUCUCCUAAUACAAGCCAAAUAUGGAUAAAACUUACUCCCAACCAAUUAUUUGCCCCAGAUGAACAUGACAAGGUAGUGAAGCUGUAAUAGUGUGUACUACAUAGAGAACAAUCCCCUGAAAGGCUCCCAUCACCUAUCUUUGCAGUCCUUAUGGCACGAGAGGGGAGCAGAGCAAUGAGAACUCUCUUGGAUCAUCACCCAUGAGCAGGGUUUGUGGCUGGUUGACACAAGCUUGAAGGGGACUUGUGCUUUUUCUAUAGCUCAUUAGCUUCAGGAGUGGGGAAGCUGCCUUCCUGCUCUUCCUGACAGGUUGCUGACAUCAUCCAGUUUGUUGUUAUGCAGCAGAGGUCCCAAUGCGUGUGAAAGACUUCAGAAAGUGCCCAGAACCCUUAAAGCAUUCUUCUCUGCUGAAGAUCAAGUGAUCCAGAUGUUGAUGUGGCCAUCAGCAGCGAGAUGGAGGAAGUAGGAGGGCAGUCAAGACGCCAGUAGCUAUACUGCCAAGCAGGGAGUCUUGUCUCAAGAACACAAUAGCCCAUCUAUCACCUUACCUAGAGACAGGAUUCUAGGGCAAAGAGUUAGAAAUGAGUGAUUUGACCCUGUUGAAUGGACUGCUCAUGAAAUAAAUGGUAGAAGUUGGCUUUAGUAUUUGUUACCAUCCCUUCUCUAUACAAAGCCGGAUGAGUAGGAAUCCCUUUGCCCUCCCCAGGAUACCUCUCUUCAGGGAGGCUUGUCAUGUACUUACCCUAAAACAAAAUCCGUCCUCUCUUGUGUUUGGUCAUAGCAAGUGACUUGGGUGAGUGGUAUAUUCUGAUGCUUGUUCUGUAGAUAGUAGUCUUGAUGAGUGGUCACCAGCACUCAGACAAGAUGGCUGUGACCCACCCAGCUGGGGCCACCAUGGAACUUCCCAGCAUGGGAUACUACAAGGGAUCCUGCCCAAAGUUUCAACUGGAAUCAAAGCCAUGUGGCAAAGAGACUAUGUGCUUCCUGCUUGACACUAUGCUCUGAGGUUCAAUUUGUCCUCUCAGAUCUUGCAUGUGAUAUCCCUAGGCUCUGUGCCAACGCUGUUCUUCA